GACGAACGCUGGCGGCGUGCUUAACACAUGCAAGUCGAACGGAAAGGCCCUGCUUGCCGGGUACUCGAGUGGCGAACGGGUGAGUAACACGUGGGUGAUCUGCCCUGCACUUCGGGAUAAGCCUGGGAAACUGGGUCUAAUACCGGAUAGGAGCCAUUUUAGUGUGAUGGUUGGAAAGUUUUUUCGGUGUAGGAUGAGCUCGCGGCCUAUCAGCUUGUUGGUGGGGUAAUGGCCUACCAAGGCGGCGACGGGUAGCCGGCCUGAGAGGGUGGACGGCCACAUUGGGACUGAGAUACGGCCCAGACUCCUACGGGAGGCAGCAGUGGGGAAUAUUGCACAAUGGGCGCAAGCCUGAUGCAGCGACGCCGCGGGGGGGAUGACGGCCUUCGGGUUGGAAACUCCUUUCGCUAGGGACGAAGCUUUUUGUGACGGUACCUAGAUAAGAAGCACCGGCUAACUACGUG
rnacentral:rRNA from 1 species